rnacentral:rRNA from 1 species
GACGAACGCUGGCGGCGUGCUUAACACAUGCAAGUCGAACGGAGAGGCCCUGCUUUUGUGGGGUGCUCGAGUGGCGAACGGGUGAGUAACACGUGAGUAACCUGCCCUUGACUUUGGGAUAACUUCAGGAAACUGGGGCUAAUACCGGAUAGGAGCUCCUGCUGCAUGGUGGGGGUUGGAAAGUUUCGGCGGUUGGGGAUGGACUCGCGGCUUAUCAGCUUGUUGGUGGGGUAGUGGCUUACCAAGGCUUUGACGGGUAGCCGGCCUGAGAGGGUGACCGGCCACAUUGGGACUGAGAUACGGCCCAGACUCCUACGGAAGGCAGCAGUGGGGAAUAUUGCACAAUGGGCGGAAGCCUGAUGCAGCAACGCCGCGUGCGGGAUGACGGCCUUCGGGUUGUAAACCGCUUUCGCCUGUGACGAAGCGUGAGUGACGGUAAUGGGUAAAGAAGCACCGGCUAACUACGUG